UACGGGGGGAGCAAGCGUUGUUCGGAUUUACUGGGCGUAAAGGGCGCGUAGGCGGCCAGCACAAGUCAGUUGUGAAAUCUCCGAGCUUAACUCGGAAAGGUCAACUGAUACUGUGCGGCUAGAGUGCGGAAGGGGCAACUGGAAUUCUUGGUGUAGCGGUGAAAUGCGUAGAUAUCAAGAGGAACACCGAUGGCGAAGGCAGGUCACUGGGCCGCAACUGACGCUGAGGAGCGAAAGCAUGGGGAGCGAACAGG
rnacentral:rRNA from 1 species